AUUGAACGCUGGCGGCAUGCCUUACACAUGCAAGUCGAACGGUAACAGGUCUUCGGAUGCUGACGAGUGGCGAACGGGUGAGUAAUGCAUCGGAACGUGCCCAGUAGUGGGGGAUAGCCCGGCGAAAGCCGGAUUAAUACCGCAUACGACCUGAGGGUGAAAGGGGGGGUCGCAAGACCUCUCGCUAUUGGAGCGGCCGAUGUCAGAUUAGCUAGUUGGUGGGGUAAAGGCCUACCAAGGCAACGAUCUGUAGUUGGUCUGAGAGGACGACCAGCCACACUGGGACUGAGACACGGCCCAGACUCCUACGGGAGGCAGCAGUGGGGAAUUUUGGACAAUGGGCGCAAGCCUGAUCCAGCAAUGCCGCGUGCAGGAAGAAGGCCUUCGGGUUGUAAACUGCUUUUGUCAGGGAAGAAAUCUUCUGGGUUAAUACCUCGGGAGGAUGACGGUACCUGAAGAAUAAGCACCGGCUAACUACGUGCCAGCAGCCGCAGUAACAC
rnacentral:rRNA from 1 species